rnacentral:rRNA from 1 species
CCCUUAGAUGUUCUGGGCUGCACGCGCGCUACACUGGUGCACUCAACAAGUUUACAACCUUGAUCGAUAGGUCUGGGUAAUCUUUUGAAUAUGCACCGUGCUAGGGAUAGAUUAUUGCAAUUAUUAAUCUUGAACGAGGAAUUCCUAGUAAAUGCAAGUCAUCAGCUUGCGUUGAUUACGUCCCUGCCCUUUGUACACACCGCCCGUCGCACCUACCGAUUGAAUGGUCCGGUGAAAUCUCCGGACUGGCGUGAGUCGGAGCAAUCUGACAAACACCGGAAAGUUGAUUAAACCUUACCAUUUAGAGGAAGGUGAAGUCGUAACA